rnacentral:rRNA from 1 species
GUGGGGAAUAUUGGACAAUGGGCGAAAGCCUGAUCCAGCCAUGCCGCGUGUGUGAAGAAGGUCUUCGGAUUGUAGAGAACUUUAAGUUGGGAGGAAGGGCAGUAAGUUAAUACCUUGCUGUUUUGACGUUACCGACAGAAUAAGCACCGGCUAACUUCGUGCCAGCAGCCGCGGUAAUACGAAGGGUGCAAGCGUUAAUCGGAAUUACUGGGCGUAAAGCGCGCGUAGGUGGUUUUGUAAGUUGGAGGUGAAAUCCCCGGGCUCAACCUGGGAACUGCCUCCAAAACUGCAUGACUAGAGUACGGUAGAGGGUAGUAGAAUUUCCUGUGUAGCGGUGAAAUGCGUAGAUAUAGGAAGGAACACCAGUGGCGAAGGCGACUACCUGGACUGAUACUGACACUGAGGUGCGAAAGCGUGGGGAGCAAACAGGAUUAGAAACCCUGGUAGUCC